AGUGAACGCUAGCGGUAGGCCUAACACAUGCCAGUCGAACGGCAGCACAGUAAGAGCUUGCUCUUACGGGUGGCGAGUGGCGGACGGGUGAGGAAUACAUCGGAAUCUACUUUUUCGUGGGGGAUAACGUAGGGAAACUUACGCUAAUACCGCAUACGACCUACGGGUGAAAGCAGGGGAUCUUCGGACCUUGCGCGAUUGAAUGAGCCGAUGUCGGAUUAGCUAGUUGGCGGGGUAAAGGCCCACCAAGGCGACGAUCCGUAGCUGGUCUGAGAGGAUGGUCAGCCACACUGGAACUGAGACACGGUCCAGACUCCUACGGGAGGCAGCAGUGGGGAAUAUUGGACAAUGGGCGCAAGCCUGAUCCAGCCAUACCGCGUGGGUGAAGAAGGCCUUCGGGUUGUAAAGCCCUUUUGUUGGGAAAGAAAAGCAGCAGGUUAAUACCCCGCUGUUCUGACGGUACCCAAAGAAUAAGCACCGGCUAACUUCGUG
rnacentral:rRNA from 1 species